GUGAGGAAUAUUGGUCAAUGGGCGCAAGCCUGAACCAGCCAUCCCGCGUGCAGGAAGACGGCGCUAUGCGUUGUAAACUGCUUUUCCAGGGAGAGAAACUUGCGCACGUGUUGCGCAAUUGACGGUACCCUGGGAAUAAGCAUCGGCUAACUCCGUGCCAGCAGCCGCGGUAAUACGGAGGAUGCGAGCGUUAUCCGGAUUCAUUGGGUUUAAAGGGUGCGUAGGCGGACUAUUAAGUCAGUGGUGAAAUCCUGCAGCUUAACUGCAGAACUGCCAUUGAUACUGAUAGCCUUGAGUUUGGUUAAGGUAGGCGGAAUGUGUAAUGUAGCGGUGAAAUGCUUAGAUAUUACACAGAACACCAAUUGCGUAGGCAGCUUACUGAGCCGACACUGACGCUGAGGCACGAAAGCGUGGGGAUCGAACAGGAUUAGAAACCCCGGUAGUCC
rnacentral:rRNA from 1 species